CCCCUCAGCCUGUACUCCUCAGGGAGGCGGAGGGCGGGCCUAUCGUGCCCGCGGCAACUCCGCCCUCCGGGCUCUCGGGGGCGUGGCCAGAGGGAAAGUUUUGUGGGCCUGAAGAAGGUGGGGCUUGAGGAGGAGUCUGAGGGCGUGUGAGGGGCGGGGUUUAAGUGGACGCAGCAAGCAGCUUUGCGUCUUGACGUCACGAAGACCUUAUAUACUCGACUCAGCCGCCAUCUCAGCCUUUCGGAGCUGUGCGGCAUUCUGAGCAGGAAUGGCAGUGUGGACCUCUGUGAUGGGACAUCUUGUGGGAUCUCACAGCCAGUUCUGUGGCAAAGGAGGAUGAAGGCUUACGAGGACUCGUCAGGAAGCUGGAUAACAGAGCGAGCGCAAUGUGCUAGAAUAGAAGACCAGAAAAUGAAAUGGUGGAGUUUGAGGCUGGAUAGACAGUUUGAAAGGUAUUAAUGGGUCACCUCAAGUGAAGGCACUGCAAACACAAUGAUUGGUCAUUCUGAAUUUCCGGUCCUUCAUUCUGAAUUUCAAAGGCUCCUGUGACAAGUGGACAUGCAGUGACUGCACCUUUGUUUCUGAGGUGCCUGGAUGGAGGCUCAAAUAGAAGAUGGUGUCAGAUAUAUUGUGUUAAAAUUUUACCAUUAAAGUGUAUUAUAACA
ensembl:processed_transcript Gas5 growth arrest specific 5